CACCCUAGUUGAUAUUAAAAUAUGCAACUUACAUGACUUUACCAAAGCUGAAGACACUAAAGCUAAGGCACAAACUGGGAUUAGAGACCCCACUAUGCUUAGCCGUAAACCAAGGUAAUUAAAUAACAAAAUUACUCACCAGAGAACUACUAGCCACUGCUUAAAACUCAAAGGACUUGGAGGUGCCCUAGACCCUCCUAGAGGAGCCUGUUCUAUAAUUGAUAAACUCCGAUACACCUCACCCCUUCUCACUUAUCAGUCUAUAUACCGCCAUUGUCAGCUCACCCCAAUAGUGUCCCAAAAUGAGCAAAAUCAUGAAACCAUAAAAACGUUAGGUCAAGAUGUAGCAUACGAAGGGGGAAGCAAUGGGCUACAUUUUCUAUAUUAGAACACAACGGAUUAUCUACUGAAAUAAAGACAUGAAGGAGGAUUUAGUAGUAAAUUAAGAAUAGAGAGCUUAGUUGAAAUAGGCAAUAGGGUGCAUACACACCGCCCGUCA
rnacentral:ncRNA from 1 species